rnacentral:rRNA from 1 species
GAUGAACGCUGGCGGCGUGCUUAACACAUGCAAGUCGAACGAUGAAGCCCAGCUUGCUGGGUGGAUUAGUGGCGAACGGGUGAGUAACACGUGAGUAACCUGCCCUUGACUCUGGGAUAAGCCCGGGAAACUGGGUUUAAUACCGGAUAGGAGCGCCUGUCGCAUGACGGGUGUUGGAAAGAUUUUUCGGUCAUGGAUGGACUCGCGGCCUAUCAGCUUGUUGGUGAGGUAAUGGCUCACCAAGGCGACGACGGGUAGCCGGCCUGAGAGGGUGACCGGCCACACUGGGACUGAGACACGGCCCAGACUCCUACGGGAGGCAGCAGUGGGGAAUAUUGCACAAUGGGCGGAAGCCUGAUGCAGCGACGCCGCGUGAGGGAUGACGGCCUUCGGGUUGUAAACCUCUUUCAGUAGGGAAGAAGCGAAAGUGACGGUACCUGCAGAAGAAGCACCGGCUAACUACGUG